GUGACGAAAUUAGACCAUGAGCUUCCCUACCCUUAUUUCUCUAGAGCCAAUUUCUUAUGGACUCGAUAGAGCUCUUAUGCUCUUAUUUCAUAAUUCUUUUUUAAUUAAAACCCAAAAUCCUAAAUCAAAUCCUCCUCUCUCGUCAAAACUAAACUCUAACCUCCCUAUAGAUUAGUGAACCCUUGGGUAAAAAUAUAAAUUUUAUACAUUUCAAAUUUGGAAAAAAAAGUUUUUAAAAUCGUUUUUAAUCACAUUUUGAUGAUUUUCAUGAAAUUUUGGAAAAACCGUUUUUUUAUUUUUGAAAUAUUUUUAUCAAAUUCUAUAAAUCAAAUAAAAAAUAUUCACGUUUUCAGUUUAAUUUUAUGAUUUUCCGUUUGCCAUAUAAAAUUAAAAGAAAAACCGAACCUAUUAAUUGGAGCAAUUGUUGCGACGAAACUAAAGACGGAAACAGAGACAAAAGAGGUGGAACCAGAAACUUUAGAGCAAACGAAGGCAGAGAUACACUUCAAAAGUGCAGCAGCUAGACAGCGAGUUUUCUUCUCGCUGCAGCAGCACUUGUGAGCUGCUUCGAGCGUCUUUUUUUUUUUUCUCUGCCUCGUGAAGGUUGUUUGAGAUCUUUAACAACACUAGAUCUGCCAAAUAGUAGCUCUGUGAGAGGAGGUGGUGCCUGGUGGUAAAGUACAAGUUAAAUCUCCUGAAGAUAUUGCAGCUGUACCUGUAAAGUUUCAGGCUUUCAUCAAGGAAUAAGAAAAGAAGAGCACCCUGUUAGAGAAAAGAAAACACAGAAUGGCUGAGAUAGAUGGAUAUGUAUGGAGAACAAGUGAUCGAAGGAAUGCAUCUGCGAAGUAAAAGAGUGAAAAUGAAGGGUAAGAAGAGGGCCUUUGCUGUGAGCCUAAGGAAGGGAAAUACAAAACAGUGAAGGUUAUGUCAAAAAGGCUUGGAAUCCAGAAGAAUAACACUCAUGACAGUGCAAUAAGAGGAGGGCCAACUACGGAGAUAUGAUUGGUCAAAACAAGGAGAUCAAGUUGAAAGGGCAGCUGACACGAGUGAAGUCAAUACGCUCUCAUGCAUGUCAUUUACAGUGGACCAGUGUUUGAGAAGAAGGGUGUCAAGUCCAACAAGAAUUACAAGUAUCUGCUAAAGUAAUUAUGGGAAGGGAGCAAGGGAAAGGGUAGCUUGGGAGAUACGUACUUGAGGUGUGUCACGAACAGAUGAAGUUUUGGAAGAUGGGUGCUGCCAAGAACAAGAAGAGGACAGAUGAAGUUUUGUAUGGACUAGACUGUUGUAUGAAGUGUUAGCGCCAACUGUUCAUGCGAGGAACAUUGUUGAGAAAUGAAGUCUACAAACAAUGUUCUCGUCUCCACUUUCACAAAUUCCUUUGAUUUCGAUCAUGGAAUCAAAUGGUUAGUUCUCAGUUUUAUUUUCUGGGAAGAGAGACAUUACCUUGCUUUCUCAUGUUAUGGACUAGACUGUUCUGUGAAAUGUUAGCGCCAACUGUUCAUGCGAGGAACACAGAGAAGAGAAUGAGGAGUAAAAGAGUUUUGAGGAAGUUUGGGAUAUUGGAAGAAGCAUAAGUUCAGACAGAAGUGUAGAGAGCAGAGAGAUGGGAUCAAGCUGGAGAAUCUGGUUAUGUUGUCAGUGACACAUACGAGAAGGAUGACGAGAAGAAAGCUCAGCCUACGAUAGAAGUUCUGGGUUGGAGGAAACUAAAGGUCAGAAAUAAUAUCAGGAACUUGAGGGCUUCUCAGAAGCAGAAAAAGCAGCAAGAUUGUCAGACUUAUGGCAUCCUAAUACUUUACGUAGCCUUGGUAACUGGGGUUCUGAGGGUGGAGACAAAACAGUAUUGUUUGUGGAGGAGAGAACUAAGUUCAGGAGAAAACAAAGACAAGGGGCAUAAUAGGACUAAGACUACAAGUGGCUCGAGACUGUGUAUGAAAUCAAGGCUAAUUGGAAAGGGCAGGAGGAGAACAUCAGAACACAGAUGCUAGAAGCUGAAACAGAGGAAGUACCCAAAGAGCUGGAUGUUUAAGUACAGACUUAAGAGUUCUUUGAGUGCUCAGCUUUGCAAUGAUCAACAUGGAACCAGGGGAAUCAAUGAUGCUGAGAAAGAAUAAGUCCAAAAAGAAGAAAGAGACUCUAUGAGAUUUCAAAAAAAGAGACUAGGACAGCAAGCUUUCUUUUUUCCUAUAAUAAAUCAGACACGAUGGGGUUUGUCCGGUUUAUCAUACUAGUGACAAAUUUGCAAAGAAAAGAAAAGUGUUAAGUUCUCUAACAAUUCUCUGUAGUAACACCAAC